AGUGCUCCAUGGCGAUGCUAGUUGUUUGGUGAGAGAGAAACGGCUAUUGAAUGGUCUGAAUUGGUUCAGAGACCUGGAGGAACCCACCUAGGUUAAAAACCAAGCCAUCCCUGUGAUACCUUGAGCCAUCUGUCCCCAAACCAUGUUCUCAGUAAGGAUCCCCAGGGUGGAGAUCAGCACAAGAAGUGCUCUGGAGACUUCAGCCCCACAGGACAGCGGCCCUCUAGCCUCCACAUCCACCUCCCCAGGGUGUAUCCCUAAGCUGAAGGCCUUGAGGAAGAGGGCUCUGAAGAGGGGCAUGUGGGCUGUCACUAGUAUGGAAGGAACCAAGCUCUGCAUGAAGAAGAGAAGGAGAGGCAAUUUCCGCCCUGAGGAUCAGGAAGCCUUCUACAGACUUCUUGAGGAUCCUGUCAUCCAGAAUUUCUUGGAGGCUGACGUUUUCCUAAGAGUGUCUGAUAAGUAUCUGCUCUCCAUGGUGGUUGAAUAUUUUGGCCGAGUGGGACUCCCAGGAGACUGCUAUAAUAGGAUUCAUUUCUUCCUGGCCCUCUAUAUUGCCUGUGACAUGGAGGAAGACAACCCUGUCUCCAAGUGGAGCAUUUUCCCUUUUGUGCUUGGAAAGGAAGACUGGCCCAUCCUCUAUAAAGAAUUUCUGAGGCUACAAGCAGACUUCUUCCAUGCAAUGGGUGGCAGAGCCUGGGUCACCCCAGAGAUAUGUGAAGAGAUCCAGGCCCAGAAUCCUCUUCACUGGGUCUGGACCCGAGAACGACACUACCUCCCCUAGGUUCCCAGAGUGGAAUGCCUAGGCCAGGGAGGCAGAAGUCGUAAGAACAAGGAGCAGGGACCUCCAGAAACCAAGAAAGAGAGGACCUAAUGGAGAGCCCACCAAAAGAAGUGUUCCAUCAAAAGCAGGUCCUUGUAGUGCUGAAAGAAUACAGGAUUCACUGUGAGAGCUUGGCCUGGCUGGUGGCAGCAGGAGACAAAGAAGAGAGAAGAAGAGGAGUUAGAAGCCCAGCUUUAGAAAGGGAAGGAAUCCCAAAGGAAGAGAAUUCUGCCUGCAGCGAGCAACGGUCCCUGCUGCCCUGAGGUGUGAGGUUGACCAGAAGU